rnacentral:rRNA from 1 species
AGAUUAAGUUAUUAAGGGCGAACGGUGGAUGCCUUGGCACUAGAAGCCGAUGAAGGACGUUACUAACGACGAUAUGCUUUGGGUAGCUGUAAGUAAGCGUUGAUCCAGAGAUUUCCGAAUGGGGGAACCCAGCAUGAGUUAUGUCAUGUUAUCGACAUGUGAAUUUAUAGCAUGUCAGAAGGCAGACCCGGAGAACUGAAACAUCUUAGUACCCGGAGGAAGAGAAAGAAAAAUCGAUUCCCUGAGUAGCGGCGAGCGAAACGGGAAGAGCCCAAACCAACAAGCUUGCUUGUUGGGGUUGUAGGACACUCUAUACGGAGUUACAAAAGAACAUGUUAGACGAAUCAUCUGGAAAGAUGAAUCAAAGAAGGUAAUAAUCCUGUAGUCGAAACAUAUUCUCUCUUGAGUGGAUCCUGAGUACGACGGAGCACGUGAAAUUCCGUCGGAAUCUGGGAGGACCAUCUCCUAAGGCUAAAUACUCUCUAGUGACCGAUAGUGAACCAGUACCGUGAGGGAAAGGUGAAAAGUACCCCGGAAGGGGAGUGAAAGAGAACUUGAAACCGUGUGCUUACAAGUAGUCAGAGCCCGUUAAUGGGUGAUGGCGUGCCUUUUGUAGAAUGAACCGGCGAGUUACGAUCUGAUGCAAGGUUAAGCAGCAAAUGUGGAGCCGCAGCGAAAGCGAGUCUGAAUAGGGCGUUGAGUAUUUGGUCGUAGACCCGAAACCAGGUGAUCUACCCUUGGUCAGGUUGAAGUUCAGGUAACACUGAAUGGAGGACCGAACCGACUUACGUUGAAAAGUGAGCGGAUGAACUGAGGGUAGCGGAGAAAUUCCAAUCGAACUUGGAGAUAGCUGGUUCUCUCCGAAAUAGCUUUAGGGCUAGCCUCAAGUGAUGAUUAUUGGAGGUAGAGCACUGUUUGGACGAGGGGCCCCUCUCGGGUUACCGAAUUCAGACAAACUCCGAAUGCCAAUUAAUUUAACUUGGGAGUCAGAACAUGGGUGAUAAGGUCCGUGUUCGAAAGGGAAACAGCCCAGACCACCAGCUAAGGUCCCAAAAUAUAUGUUAAGUGGAAAAGGAUGUGGC